UAAAAAAAAAAAAAUCUCUAAUGUUUAAAAUUAAAAUCAUUUGUUGAUACUGCUUUAAGAUUAGAUUUUCUGGUAGGCCAAUCUCAUCAAGUGCUCAUUGUGGCUUCUACUUCACUUUUUCCUUGUUAUUUUCUUUGUUGAUCCUUAUUUUCCUGUGCUUGUUACAUGAAAAGAGAAUAUCUCAAAGAGGAUGGAGCACUAUGAAUUUAAAUUGCAGCUGUGGACUCUAAUAUAAAGCUUGGACUUUGAUACUUUGUGAGCCAAUUCUCCUCAUAGGUGCCACUGUUCUGGACUGCUUGCAAUUGACUGACAAUUUGUCAUUUUUGGCUUUCAUAUUCAUAAAUGCACCUUGAAUAUACUUAAUUUGUGAAGAUCUUUGAUUGUCUUCAGUGACUGUUAUCUGCACUGCAUUUAGUACUUGCUUCAAUAUAGCAUUUUUUAUGGCCUUCAUACUUUUCAG
rnacentral:misc_RNA from 1 species